rnacentral:rRNA from 1 species
UAUGUAGGGACCGAGCGUUGUCCGGAUUCAUUGGGCGUAAAGAGCUCGUAGGCGGCUGUUCAAGUCGAACGUGAAAACUCGGAGCUCAACUCCGAGCCUGCGUUCGAUACUGGACGGCUAGAGUCUGGUAGGGGGAUCUGGAAUUCCUGGUGUAGCGGUGGAAUGCGCAGAUAUCAGGAGGAACACCGGUGGCGAAGGCGGGUCUCUGGGCAGUAACUGACGCUGAGGAGCGAAAGCGUGGGGAGCGAACAGG